AUUGAACGCUGGCGGAAUGCUUUACACAUGCAAGUCGAGCGGCAGCGCGGCCUUCGGGCUGGCGGCGAGCGGCGAACGGGUGAGUAAUGCAUCGGAACAUGCCCAGUCGUGGGGGAUAACACUUCGAAAGAAGUGCUAAUACCGCAUACGUCCUGAGGGGGAAAGCGGGGGAUCGCAAGACCUCGCGCGAUUGGAGUGGCCGAUGUCAGAUUAGCUAGUUGGUGGGGUAAAGGCCUACCAAGGCGACGAUCUGUAGCUGGUCUGAGAGGAUGAUCAGCCACACUGGGACUGAGACACGGCCCAGACUCCUACGGGAGGCAGCAGUGGGGAAUUUUGGACAAUGGGGGCAACCCUGAUCCAGCCAUUCCGCGGGAGUGAAGAAGGCCUUCGGGUUGUAAAGCUCUUUCGGCAGGAACGAAACGGUGGGCUCUAACAUAGUCCGCUAAUGACGGUACCUGAAGAAGAAGCACCGGCUAACUACGU
rnacentral:rRNA from 1 species